rnacentral:rRNA from 1 species
UACAGAGGGGGCAAGCGUUGUUCGGAAUUACUGGGCGUAAAGGGCGCGUAGGCGGCCUGUUAAGUCGAACGUGAAAUCCCCGGGCUCAACCCGGGAACUGCGUCCGAUACUGGCAGGCUUGAAUCCGGGAGAGGGAUGCGGAAUUCCAGGUGUAGCGGUGAAAUGCGUAGAUAUCAAGAGGAACACCUGAGGUGAAGACGGGUUGCUGGGCUGACACUGACGCUGAUGCGCGAAAGCCAGGGGAGCAAACGGG